rnacentral:rRNA from 1 species
GACGUAGGGCGCGAGCGUUGUCCGGAUUUAUUGGGCGUAAAGAGCUCGUAGGCGGCUUGUCGCGUCGUCCGUGAAAACCCACAGCUCAACUGUGGGCUUGCGGUCGAUACGGGCAGGCUAGAGUUCGGUAGGGGAGACUGGAAUUCCUGGUGUAGCGGUGAAAUGCGCAGAUAUCGGGAAGAACACCCGUGGCGAAGGCGGUUCUCUGGGACGGUACUGACGCUGAGACGCGAAAGCGUGGGGAGCGAACAGG